rnacentral:tRNA from 1 species
GUGUAAGCUAAUUAAAACUAUUGGGCCCAUACCCCAAAAAUGAAGGAUCAUUCCAUCCACCCCUA